UUUUUUGUACUAUACCAGACUAUGUUGUUCCAGCUGUCUGGGUAAAGACUGAUACAUUACUGCCUCUUGGAGAACAGCAAACCAUUCUCCAGACAGAGACAAAGACAUGGACAUCAAAACAGAAAAUUAAGUACUUGAUCUUGGAUUGUUUGGAGUGAACGCUGGAAAAUAAUGAAGCAGGAAAUUGACUAAAACAAUUUUUGUACUUGGCUGUAAGAAGUCCUUUGUGUGCACAGACAUGACUGGAGAUUAAAGUUACUAAAUGUUGCUUUUUUUCUAGCUGGUGACAUAACAUGGUAUUAUUUUCAAAUGUAUUUAUCUAAUACACAUUUGCACAUCUGUAAACAUUCAUUUUAUAUAGGAUGUUUUUUAUAUUUAACCAGUUGUUGUAUAUUGCUUUCUGUUAUUACAUCUGUUUUUUUGCCUGUUUAUUGUUUAAAACAAUUAAGUUAAUGUUUCUCUGUUAGCUUUUAUGUUACUUUGGCUAUUUCUUUGCUUUUAUUUGAUCCUUCUACUGUUAUUUGUUUAUUUGGCAGAACAUUUGACAUUUAAUUUAUUUUGCUGUUAUCUGAAAUUAUCCUUGUCACCAUCAAUAAAACUCUAUAUUUGCUUUAUAUCUGUGUUUUUCAAUUACACAUUUUACGGGAUAUAAAUAUAUUUUGGUCACUUUAUGGCUAUUUUCUGGGGCAUCUGGAUAAGUUGUGGGUGGGUUCUGGGGUAAAUAUGGUAAUUUUGGUUAUUUUCUGGGUUACAUUUGGGGUUUCUGGAAAAGUUGUGGGUA